UGUGUUGUGUUGUGUUUCCUCCAUAGAAAUUCUUUUCCUGGAUUUGUGAUCCCUGUGGAAUAUUAAGAACCUCUCCGAUUGAAUCUCAGGGAGGAACCGGAGGUAUGUAUGACAACUGUUUGAGAAGAAGGUCCCAAAUCCCUCUCUUAAAACCUUGGGAUUGUGCUUGAGACUCAGCCCCGAUGUGUUCCGUGGUAAUUCACUCACCUGGUUUACCCACACUGUAUGCUCCCCCUACCUGCCCCUACCUUGUCAUAAGUGCUGAGGGUUGAACCCAGGGCCUCGUUGCAUGUCAGGUGCUGGGAACAUUAAAUCUUCAUGUCCCGAGGACAAGAAAAUUAAAAGUACUCAUUGUUCAGUAGCUACUGAGGCUGAUGAGAGGCGGGACUGUGGAUUCACGUGACUGACGAUGACUGGUCUUCCUGGCCAUAUUACUUUCUCUUUCUUUUAUCAAGUACAGACAUGGCACCUACCUGGAGUGGUGGUAUGAGUGCCCAAUCUCAAGGAAACAACCUAGGCCACCUGUUCCCAUUUUUUUUAUUGCUGUUGUUACAUGUGUAUAUGUGACAUAUGUGCGUGUAUGUUCAUGUGUUUGUGGGUACACAUUGUAUGCGGGUGUGUGUGGAUAUGUCUCUACGUGGCCAUUGAAGAAAUUAAAACAGGAAGACUCG
rnacentral:lncRNA from 1 species